GAACGCCGUAUGCGGGGAAACUCGCACGUACGGUGUGGAGUGGGGGAAAAUCUGGAGAUAACAUCAAAGGAUUACCUAUCACUAU
rfam:Tissierella praeacuta DSM 18095 genome assembly, contig: EK13DRAFT_scaffold00002.2